rnacentral:hammerhead_ribozyme from 1 species
AUCUAGCUGACGAGUCCAAAAUAGAACGAAAUGAAUGUCCUGAAU